rnacentral:rRNA from 1 species
UACGGAGGGUGCGAGCGUUGUCCGGAAUUACUGGGCGUAAAGCGCGUGUAGGCGGCUAUGUAAGUCGGGCGUGAAAUCCCACGGCUCAACCGUGGAAGUGCACCCGAAACUGCGUAGCUAGAGUCCUGGAGAGGAAGGUGGAAUGCUUGGUGUAGAGGUGAAAUUCGUAGAUAUCAAGCGGAACACCGGUGGCGAAGGCGGCCUUCUGGACAGUGACUGACGCUGAGACGCGAAAGCGUGGGGAGCAAACAGG